GAUGAACGCUGGCGGCGUGCCUAAUACAUGCAAGUCGAACGGGGAGUAGCAAUACUCUUAGUGGCGAACGGGUGAGUAACGCGUUGGUACCUGCCCCGAAGCGGGGGAUAACGGACCGAAAGGUCCGCUAAUACCCCAUGUGCUCGGUAACGAGUAAAGGUGAAAACCACUUUGGGAGGGGCCUGCGUCCCAUCAGCUAGUUGGUAAGGUAACGGCUUACCAAGGCGAUGACGGGUAGGGGACCUGAGAGGGUGGCCCCCCGCAAUGGAACUGAAACACGGUCCAUACACCUACGGGUGGCAGCAGUAGGGAAUAUUGGUAAUGGGCGUAAGCCUGAACCAGCAACGCCGCGUGUGCGAUGACGGCCUUCGGGUUGUAAAGCACUUUUGACUGGGACGAGGAAGGACGGUACCGGUCGAAUCAGCCUCGGCUAACUACGUG
rnacentral:rRNA from 1 species